ensembl:lncRNA
UGCCAGCGGUAGUCCCAACUCUGCCGGGCCACGGCGCGCCGGGCGGCCGCCAACCCGCCGGGCCCCGCCGGGCGCCGCAGGUCCCAGAGUUUGGCCGUCUGGUCCUUGGAGUUGGUCACCAGGUAGCGACCGUCACCCUAUGGGAGGGGACGGGGCGGUGACGUCACGGAUGAGGUCAUCGGGGUGAAGAACGUCAAGGUUGGGGUCAAUGGGCGUGGUAGAACCAUGGAGAACGUCAAAAUUGGGGUCAACGGGGUGAAAAACGUCAUAUUUGGGGUCAAUGGGGUGAAGAACGUCAAGAUUGGGGUCAAUGGGGUGAAAAACGUCAAGAUUGGGGUCAACGGGGUGAGGAACAUCAAGGUUGGGGUCAAUGGGGUGAAAAACGUCAAGAUUGGGGUCAACGGGGGUGGUAGAACCAUGGAGAACGUCAUAUUUGGGGUCAACGGGGUGAAAAACGUCAAGAUUGGGGUCAAAAAGGAUGGUAGAACCAUGAGGAACGUCAUAUUUAGGGUCAGUGGGGUGAAAAAUGUCAAGAUUGGGGUCAUCAUGGGUCAAUAGAACCAUGGAGAACAUCAAGGUUGGGGUCAAUGGGGUGAAGAACGUCAAGAUUGGGGUCAACGGGGGUGGUAGAACCAUGGAGAACGUCAAAAUUGGGGUCAACGGGGUGAGGAACAUCAAGGAUGGGGUCAACGGGGUGAAGAACAUCAAGAUUAGGGUCAACGGGAUGAAAAACGUCAAGAUUGGGGUCAAAAAGGAUGGUAGAACCAUGAGGAACGUCAUAUUUAGGGUCAAUGGGGUGAAAAACGUCAAGGUUGGGGUCAACGGGGGUGGUAGAACCAUGAGGAACGUCAUAUUUGGGGUCAAUGGGGUGAAAAACGUCAAGAUUGGGGUCAUCACGGUUGAGGAAGGUCAAGGUUGGGGUCAACGGGGUGAAGAACGUCAAGGUUGGGGUCAAUGGGGUGAAAAACGUCAAGAUUGGGGUCAAUGGGGUGAAGAACAUCAAGAUUGGGGUCAAUGGGGUGAAAAACGUCAAGAUUGGGGUCAACGGGGUGAAGAACGUCAAGGUUGGGGUCAACGGGGAUGGUAGAACCAUGGAGAACGUCAAAAUUGGGGUCAACGGGGUGAAAAACGUCAAAAUUGGGGUCAAUGGGGUGAAAAACGUCAAGAUUGGGGUCAUCACGGUUGAGGAACGUCAAGGUUGGGGUCAACGGGGUGAAGAACGUCAAGGUUGGGGUCAUUGGGGUGAAAAAUGUCAAGAUUGGGGUCAUCAUGGUCAAUAGAACCAUGGAGAACAUCAACAAUGGGGUCAAUGGGGUGAAAAACGUCAAGAUUGGGGUCAAAAAGGAUGGUAGAACCAUGAGGAACAUCAUAUUUAGGGUCAAUGGGGUGAAAAACGUCAAGAUUGGGGUCAUCAUGGUCAAUAGAACCAUGGAGAACGUCAAGGUUGGGGUCAACGGGGUGAAAAACGUCAUAUUUGGGGUCAAUGGGGUGAGGAACGUCAAGAUUGGGGUCAACGGGGGUGGUAGAACCAUGGAGAACGUCAAGGAUGGGGUCAAUGGGGUGAAAAAUGUCAAGAUUGGGGUCAUUGGGGUGAAAAACGUCAAGAUUGGGGUCAUUGGGGUGAAAAACGUCAUAUUUGGGGUCAAUGGGGUGAAAAACGUCAAGAUUGGGGUCAACGGGGAGAGGAACCGCGAGGAACAUCACGCAUGGAGGGCCACCAGUCCCUCCCAGUCCCUCCCAGUGCCUCCCAGUCCCUCCCAGUGCCUCCCAGUCCCUCCCAGUCUAUUCCAAUCCCCUCCCAGUAUAUCCCAGU